GCCCACACCUGUGGCUUCUGAAGCAGAGCACCAGCAGUGACAGUCCCACCAGAACCGCAUGGAACAGAAAACUUGUGCAUUUCCCUAAGGAAAGGGAAUGCCAGAGAAGGGCAGAAGGGAAAUCAGGAAGACAAAACAGUAAAUUACCUACCACAAAUCCAAUUUAUUGGUAUUUUUCCACUUACACUUAACCAAGCAACGAUUUCUCCUGGUCCCAUAAUGGAAAAGAGGGUUUAUCUAGAUUCAUAUAUACAAGACUGAAGAGUGAAGAGAGACCCAGAGAAUGUUCUAAAAUCUGCCAGUAAGCAUAAUCACACAGAGAAAUCUCUGCUUCCAGAGGAGGAGCCAAGUUCAAGUCAGAGUGUCUUCAUGUUGGAGUGGACCUUUCCUCUAUCUGUCAACAGAAUGGAUAAAUUGUGGAAUAGUAAUAUCAGAAUACUACACAUCAGUAAAAAACAACAAACUUCUGCUACAAACAAUCAACAUCGAUGAAUCUUUCAGGCAAAAUGUUAUAGAAGCAGAUGAUCAGUGGCCCAUGGAUUCCAGGUGAGGAUCUGGGACCCAG
rnacentral:lncRNA from 1 species